rnacentral:lncRNA from 1 species
UGAUUUUCAUAUUUUAAAAUUUGUCUUAACAUGAAAGGCACAGAGAAAUCUUACUAUUACAUUCUAUCUUAAAAAUAUCAAUACAAAGUUUCAAUAAUUCAGAAGAAAAUGCUGCAUUUCCAAGUGUUACAUAAGAAUUUUCUCUUUCAAUAAAAAACUUUUAAGAUAUGACAGUCACAGGAAAGAUUUAGUUUAAUGCCCAUGCUAACAGUUCUCAACCUGUUAAAUAGGAUAAUGGGGAACAUCACCAUCUUUGGUUAGAAAUGAUCAGAUCUAGUAACAUUAUUUAUUAUUUGGAACAUUGGCUGACCCCACAUCACAGUGUACCUCUUUGGUGUGUUUAUAGCUUCCAAAUGCUGUGAUGUUCUAUGCUUGCUGUUUAAAUGCCAGACCAUGGCGAGUAGAUUCAGAACUGUAGCAGAAGAUAUUCUUGACAUCCACCUUGGAACAAGUACUUUAAGAUGACCAGCAGGUCACUCACUAGGCACUACUCCACAUCUUCAUCGUCAAAUGGUUUUGACCAGUGGGCAUGACCUCCAGUGCUGUCCUUCUUCACUCAUAGUGACAAUGGUUCUAUCUUUACCUUCAGAAGGAGGAGACAGAUAACAGGGCAAUGAUAAGGCUAAUAUCACAUGGCCUGGGCACCAUCCAUCUGCUGCAACAGGCUGAGUCAGAACUGCUCCCCUGAAAAAGCAGGGGCUCUGCAGAAGCCCAGGACCAGUGGGGCAGUUAUAUCCAGUGCUCAGAGUGCUGGCGAUGGACCCCACUGUUUCAAGCAAACUAAGCAGUCAAACACUGAGCUACACCCUAGGCCUAAUGACACUGACUUGACUCCAUUCUCUUUGUCUCUACUAAAUACAAGUACUUUCAUCCAUGUUUUGGUGGUAGUUCUAUAAGCAACUGAUGAAUCCUUGGUAGUUGGAAAUCAAGAAAUCUAGAAUGCUUCUAAACUUACUCUGACAAUGGAAAUAACCUAUAUCCAUGCUGUUCAAUAUGGCAGCCAGUAAACACUGACCAGUGAUUCAUUUGAUGUGACCAGUAUGACUGAGGAUUAAAUUUUAAAUUUUACUUGAUUUUAAUUAGUCUUAACAGAAAUGAUCACAGGUAUUUAGUGGCCAUAUACAAGUAUGAAACUGCUCAGCUCUAGAGGAAAAAUAAACUCAAGUGAGAGACUCAGGGCUUAUUUAAAUUGUAAUUCCUCUUACCUGGUGAUUUUAUUUCUAGAGUUCUUCACUUCUAAAACCUUAGAAGUUUUACAAUUUGUUUCAUUAAAGGAGACCAUUUAUUGUCAGUCUCUAUAUUAUAUUGCGUAGAGCUUUGGAAUUUAAAUUAGCAAUACCCUUCCACAAAGUGUUCUUUCUUUCACACAUGCCUAUGUGUUCCCUCUUCAUCACAUUGCAUCCUUCACUAUGUGGAAAAAACAUACAGGAAAAAGGGUUAAAAGGAUUGUGUACAAAGACACAAACCAUCCCCAACUUGCAAAAGGCUGCCUUGCAAAGGCUCAUGUGUGAAUUACGCUUUGGAACUUCAGAAAGUUUCUCAUUGACUUAGAAUACUAGAGCAAUCUACUAAAUUCAUUUGACACAAAAUAUAAGAGAAGAUACAUGAGUUACACAAAUAAUCAAAACAAUAAAGUAAUAGUUCUAAUAUAAAUAUAAAACUAAAAUAGAUGUGACAGUUUUUAUUUAGGGUGAGAGGAGGAAAAAGAGGAAUACAGCAUGCAUAGUUUCCUUGAGAACAGGAUACAAAAUGAUGUAGGUGAUGAAGACGCAUGAAUGGAGAAAUCAGCGACCAGCCCUGGAGUAGCUCCUCUCCACUAGCCAGCCUGGGGAAAUACUGUCUGUUCAGUGUGUACAUCACAUGCUGUCUAAGCCAUAAUGUUUCAGUCUGAAGACAUAGUGUGGGCUAUAGAAGAAAUGAGAUGAGCUGAGAGAUCAACAGGCAUUUAUCUGAGAAUGGUAAGUCUAGAAGGCAGAAUACUUGUUAAAGACACUUAUGCCUUAGUUCUUGGAAUUUAUAAUCAUGUUAUCUUACAUGGCAAAGGGGAUUCUGUGAUAUUAUUACUUAAGGAUCUUGAGAUAGAGAAAUUAUAUUGUUUGAUCCAGAUGAGCUAACCUAAUCACCCAAGUUGUUAAAAUUAGAAAACUUUUCUCUGAUACAGACAACUAGAGAGAUAGACCAAGAGAAGGACUCAGCCCAGUGCUUAACAUGGAGGACAAAAAGGGUAUCACCGACAGCCUCCAUGUCUGCAAGAUGUAAG